CCAUAUGCAAACACUUUUCUUUCUUCGCCAAAUUUGUUACUAGAUGCGAAUGAACAAACCACACAGCAGUAGCAAAGCAAAGCAUCAACAACCCCAAUAGCUGAUCGUAGAUGCGAACUCAAUUUUGACCCGAAGUAUAAGCAUUCAAUGCGAAACCCGAUCGUCCCCAAGGAAUUUAACGUCUCUGCUGUGAACAACCAAAAUCAGUUGAACCUUAUUUGACUCCAAAAAGUCAAAUCCAAAUCGAAUUCAUCAAUUCGUUCAUAUAAGCGAACUGAACACCAUGUUAAUCGAUUUCUCAUUCUCCCUACACAUAUCGAAAUCAACUCCGUUCGUCCCAAUACAAGCAUCUUUUCAAGCAAAUCUAAAGCUCCUGGGGAUUUCGCAUUCACCAGGAAACUCUUCUUGUUCGUGAAGAGUUGCUGCAAAAUGGUGAUGUUAAUGAACUUCUCAUUGAACUUCAAACUAAAGGCAUGAUUUUUGCUCUUUUAAUGUUCAAAUUGUGGGAAAUAGCCUUGUACUUUAGUCACACUACUAAAUAGGCAACAUACUUUUUCUUUUACCCACAAUGGAAUAGGGAUACAUAAAAGAAGUUGUGGUUGAUGAAGAUCGGUCUGAGUGGGACCGAUUACAAUGUUGAGAAAAAAAAGAAAAUCAAGAAAGUUAUUGAGAAGUACUGGAAGUGGGAUCUCACUAACAAUACACAACAUAUAUGGCUUAGAAAUCCUAAAAAAGUUAUAACAUAGGAAUAUCAUGAUAUCUACAAGAAGACGAUUAAUGAGUACCUAGAAUCUAAGACUAUAUGGCAAAUGUGUCUUCAAUUCAUAUGAUUUUGAUGGAAAAUUGGUAAGAUUAAUAGCAAUGUACUUUUGCGGGAUAAAAUAAUUUAUUUUUUUUAUUUUUACUUUUAACCGUUUUCUUUUUCUUUUUAUAUUUUCUUUAGCUUCCACGGUACCUAAGUUUUGUGACACGUGUUAUUGACUCCAAUGAUCUUCCCUUUAAUGUAUCAAAUGAAAUCCUCCAAGAAAGUGGUACGUGU